CAUGCAAGUCGAGGGGUAACAGGAAGUGCUUGCACUUCGCUGACGACCGGCGCACGGGUGAGUAUCCCGUAUACAAUCUGCCUCAUACUAGAGCAUAGCCCGAAGAAAUUUGGAUUAAUACUCUAUAGUAUCUAGAAAAGGCAUCUUUUUUAGAUUAAAGGUUACGGUAUGAGAUGAGUAUGCGUUCUAUUAGUUUGUAGGUGUGGUAACGGCACACCUAGACUACGAUAGAUAGGGGCCCUGAGAGGGGGAUCCCCCACACUGGUACUGAGACACGGACCAGACUCCUACGGGAGGCAGCAGUAAGGAAUAUUGGUCAAUGGACGAAAGUCUGAACCAGCCAUGCCGCGUGCAGGAUGACGGCCCUACGGGUUGUAAACUGCUUUUAUACAGGAAGAAAAACUUUCUCGUGAGAAAGCUUGACGGUACUGUAAGAAUAAGGAUCGGCUAACUCCGUGCCAGCAGCCGCGGUAAUACGGAGGAUCCAAGCGUUAUCCGGAAUCAUUGGGUUUAAAGGGUCCGUAGGUGGACAGAUAAGUCAGAGGUGAAAUACUGCAGCUCAACUGUAGAACUGCCUUUGAUACUGUUUGUCUUGAGUUAUUGUGAAGUGGUUAGAAUGUGUAGUGUAGCGGUGAAAUGCAUAGAUAUUACACAGAAUACCGAUUGCGAAGGCAGAUCACUAACAAUCAACUGACA
rnacentral:rRNA from 1 species